ensembl:lncRNA
UUUUUGAAACUCUACUAUUCUGCUGUUCCACAAAUACGAAGUCUAAUAGAUUUUAUAGCAGGUAGAAAAAAAAAAAAUGUAAAAAAAAAUGUGAAAUAAAAUAAAAUAAAAAUAAAUAAAUAAUUACAUAAAAAUGGAUAAAACAUACGAGUAAAAAAANNNNNNNNNNAAAAAAACAUAACACCAACAACUCUAGUAGUAACAAUUGUAGUAGUAAAAAUUGUAGUAAUGACAAUUUUGACAGUGGUAGUGACAGUAGUAGAAACAGUGGUAGAGAUAGUGGUAGUGACAGUGGUAGAGACAGUGGUAGUGACAGUGGUAGAGACAUGGGUAGUGAUAUCGGUAGUGAUAUCGGUAGUGAUAUCGGUAGUGGUAGCGAUAGUAAUAAUAAUACAAAACUUAAAUGUGAAAAUUCACAUGGUAAAAAAUACAUAAAUGAAAAAAAUAACCUUUUAAAAUCAAAAAAUAUACACAAUUUAAAUAAAAACUACACACACAUUUUUUCACUAAAUAAGAAUAAUUAUUAUAUAAAAAAAGGACGUGUAAACACAAGUAAAAAAAAUGAUUAUAAUAAAAAGGUAACAAAAAAAAAAUUGACUUAAUAAAAUCUUUAAAAUGCGAUAAAAGAACAAAACAAAAAUCUACUAAUCAAGAUACCGAUAUAGAUAUAAAUAAAACAAACAAAAAAAAAUGUUUAUGUAGUAACAUUACUAAAAAUAAUAUAAUAAAUUUUAAUCGUGCACAUGAAUGGUCCAAUAUUAAUACAUAUAAUACUAAAAAUAAAUUAACAGUUAAAAAAAAUAUAAAAGAAUUAAAACCAACUAAUAGUAUAAAUACUACCGCUUUACAUACUAUAGGUAUUGCUGAACAUACUUUACUUUAUUUCUCUUCUAACAAAAUUAAUUAUAAAAAAAAAAAGAAUUUUGUUUUUGAUAAUUACACAGAUUGUGAUUCAAAGUACUAUAACGAUUUUUAUGAAAAAGGAAGUAAAACUCUUUUUAAAAGUAGCAGUGUUUAUUCUGUGCGUAGCAAACUUGACAGUGAUAUGGGUAGUGACAGUGAUAUGGGUAGUGACAGUGACAGUGGUAGUGACAGUGACAGUGGUAGUGAUAGUGACAGUGGUAGUGACAACGUACUAGCAUCUUCCCGUUCAAAUGCUACUACAUCUACUACUCAUAUACCAACUACUAUUGCAUCUACUAUUUCUACUGAAGUACCCAGUUUAACAGACUUAACUACAACAAAUGGAGAUGUAACGGACGAAAUAAACGAAGGCGUACAAAACGAAGGUGCACAAAACGAAGGUGCACAAAACGAAGGUGCACNNNNNNNNNNGGUGCACAAAACGAAGGUGCACAAAACGAAGGUGCACAAAACGAAGGCGUACAAAACGAAGGCGUACAAAACGAAAGAUAUGUCAUACUUACGGGGAUAAAUGUAAAACAAAACAGUACAAAACUGUUCCAAAACAAAUUGGAUAAAAACAGAUUGGAUAAAAAAAAAUUGAACAAAAAAAUAAUGAAAAAAAAAAAAAUAAACAAAGCAGGAGUGAACA